AAAGUGGAUUAGCGGCGGACGGGUGAGUAACACGUGAGUAACCUGUCUUAGACAUUGGGAUAGCCUCGGGAAACCGGGAUUAAUACCAAAUAAAAUCAUAAUGACACAUGUCAUAACGAUCAAAACUCCGGUGGUCUAAGAUGGACUCGCGUCCCAUUAGCUAGUUGGUAGAGUAAAAGCCUACCAAGGCGACGAUGGGUAGCCGGCCUGAGAGGGUGAACGGCCACAUUGGAACUGAGAAACGGUCCAA
rnacentral:rRNA from 1 species